rnacentral:rRNA from 1 species
AUUGAACGCUGGCGGCAGGCCUAACACAUGCAAGUCGAGCGGAUGAAGGGAGCUUGCUCCUGGAUUCAACGGCGGACGGGUGAGUAAUGCCUAGGAAUCUGCCUGGUAGUGGGGGAUAACGUCCGGAAACGGGCGCUAAUACCGCAUACGUCCUGAGGGUGAAAGUGGGGGAUCUUCGGACCUCACGCUAUCAGAUGAGCCUAGGUCGGAUUAGCUAGUUGGUGGGGUAAAGGCCUACCAAGGCGACGAUCCGUAACUGGUCUGAGAGGAUGAUCAGUCACACUGGAACUGAGACACGGUCCAGACUCCUACGGGAGGCAGCAGUGGGGAAUAUUGGACAAUGGGCGAAAGCCUGAUCCAGCCAUGCCGCGUGUGUGAAGAAGGUCUUCGGAUUGUAAAGCACUUUAAGUUGGGAGGAAGGGCAGUAAGUUAAUACCUUGCUGUUUUGACGUUACCAACAGAAUAAGCACCGGCUAACUUCGUG